rnacentral:lncRNA from 10 species
CUGCCACGAUUCUUCCUGUGCUCCAUAGGAGGACCCAUUGGACCCCCGGGCUGGCUGCAGGGCCCACACCUGGGUUAGACCUCGCACAGGGACGCUGCUGCCACUGUAAUAAAGCGUGCCUACACGCUUCUGAAACUGGUGUAGGAACAACCUCAGUUCUGUGAAAGGCGGACGCAGCAGGACAGAAUCUCCGUGGACAUCUGUCUGGAGGAGCAAUUUUACUGCGACAUUUUAAAGAAACAAAUUUAAUUGAUUUCCAAGGCUUGAGUGUGAUUAAAAAAAAAAAAUUAAAAGGUAAACUUCACCGUGCAGGAAGAAGCAUAGGAAAAGAGAGAGAGAAAAGAACAAAGAAAAAAAAGAAUAGCAAGUCUCUCCAAGUACUAUGGAAACAAACAGAAAGUGGAAUUAGGAAAAAAGAGAGGAAGAAGGUCUGAGUAGUCCAAGGGACACGGGAGGCCAGUUGGGAAGACCGCCCGGGCGAGACCAGGAAGAUCAAGGCCACAGUGAAUCACGAUCCCAUCCCUCUGCUCAACCUGAAUUGUACUGCUGCUGGCGAGAGAGAUCUGGUCGACCUUAGACAUGGCAAGGCGAGAGGUGAGGUCCAUCAGGUCGACCUUAGUCCAACGCUCACAGCCGACAUCUCUCUCAAAAUAAAUAAACAAAUC